GUCUUUUUGUUAGUAAAAAAAGUCAAGCCUGCCCACUGAUAAAUUUUAAGGGCCGCGGUAUUUUGACCGUGCGAAGGUAGCGUAAUCAUUAGUUUUUUAAUUGGAAUCUUGUAUGAAUGGUUAGACAAGAGAAAAUCUGUCUCUUUAUUAAAGAUUGAAUUUAACUUUUAAGUGAAAAGGCUUAAAUAAAUUAAAGGGACGAUAAGACCCUAUAAAGCUUAAUAUAGAAAUACUAUUUAAUUAAAUUUAUGUGUAUAAAAGUUUUAUAGUAUAAAUUAUUUUGUUGGGGUGAUAAAAGUAAAAUUUUUACUAACUGCUUAAAUAAUAAAACAUUAAUAAUUGAAAUAAGUUAAUAAAAGAUCCUAAAUAAAGAUUAAAAGUUUAAGUUACUUUAGGGAUAACAGCGUUAUUUUUUUUGAGAGCACAAAUCGAAAAAAGAGUUUGCGACCUCGAUGUUGAAUUAAAAUUUCUUUAUAGAUGUAGAAACUAUAAAAGUUGGUCUGUUCGACCAUUAAAAUUUUACAUGAUUUGAGUUCAAACCGGCGUAAG
rnacentral:rRNA from 1 species